rnacentral:pre_miRNA from 1 species
AUCACCUGGGAAUCUUGUUAAAAUGCAGAUUCUGAUUCAGCAGGUCUGGUAUGGGGCCUGAGGUUUUGCAUUUCUAACAGUGUCCCAGGUGAUGCCUA